rnacentral:snRNA from 9 species
AUACUACCUGGCGUGGGGUUACCGUGGCUAUGCAGGUGGUUCCCCCAGGGCGAGGCUGCUCCAUUGCACUGCGGAGUGGUUGACCCUUGCAAUUUUUUUAUUUUUAUCAAUAAAAAAAUCAUAAUAAAAAAUGUAUACCGAAUAAUUAUUUUC